rnacentral:rRNA from 1 species
GUAGGUGGCAAGCGUUGUCCGGAAUUAUUGGGCGUAAAGCGCGCGCAGGCGGUUCUUUAAGUCUGAUGUGAAAGCCCACGGCUCAACCGUGGAGGGUCAUUGGAAACUGGAGAACUUGAGUACAGAAGGGGAAAGCGGAAUUCCACGUGUAGCGGUGAAAUGCGUAGAGAUGUGGAGGAACACCAGUGGCGAAGGCGGCUUUCUGGUCUGUAACUGACGCUGAGGCGCGAAAGCGUGGGGAGCAAACAGGAUUAGAUACCCUGGUAGUCCACGCCGUAAACGAUGAGUGCUAAGUGUUAGGGGGUUUCCGCCCCCCUUAGUGCUGCAGCUAACGCAUUAAGCACUCCGCCUGGGAGUACGGCCGCAAGGCUG